AGCUGUGUAUUAGGGACAGGGUCACACCCGUUCCCAUGCCGAACACGGAAGUUAAGCUCUUCAGCGCCGAUGGUAGUCGGGGGUUUCCCCCUGUGAGAGUAGGACGCCGCCA
rnacentral:rRNA from 1 species